rnacentral:lncRNA from 1 species
ACAGUGAGCUCUCUAGAUUGUAAGCUGUUCUGUCCAUCGAUGUGCAGCAGUGGGCUAUUGUAAGCUGUUCUGUCCGACGAUGUGUAGCAGUGGGCGAUCUAGAUUGUAAGCUGUUCUGUCUGUCAAUGUACAACAGGUGGCUGUCUAGAUUGUAAGCUGUUCUGUCCAUCGAUGUGCAGCAGUGGGCUAUUGUAAGCUGUUCUGUCCAUGAAUGUACAACAGUGAGCUGUCUAGAUUGUAAGCUGUUCUGUCCAUCAAUGCACAACAGUGGGCGAUCUAGAUUGUAAGCUGUUCUGUCCAUUGAUGUGCAGCAGUGGGCGGUUUAGAUUGUAAGCUGUUCUGUCCAACGAUGUGCAGCAGUGGGCUGUCUUGAUUGUAAGCUGUUCUGUCCAUGAAUGCACAAAAGUGGGCGAUCUAGAUUGUAAGCUGUUCUGUCCAUUGAUAUGCAGCAGUGGGCUGUUUAGAUUGUAAGCUGUUCUGUCCAACGAUGUGCAGCAGUGGGCU